GUUUGGGUUCGCGCGACUUUCAUCUCAUUUGCCAACUCCCUCCGGGCAAAAAUGGCUGAACAAACUUCUGACCGCACCACUCCCCUCCUCCGCCGCAACUGGUGGGGCAGCCAUCUUUCCGCUCAUACGUUCACCGGCUCUCUCCGCCUGAAGACCUCCCUACUUUCCGAACUAGGUGGCUCCGUCGGCGAUUUAGGCACUUACAUUCCCAUUGUCUUAGCACUCACAUUAGUCAGCAAUCUUGACCUCAGCACUACCCUUAUAUUCACUGCAUUCUACAAUAUCAUCACUGGUGCUAUUUUUGGAAUCCCCAUGCCUGUUCAACCCAUGAAAUCUAUUGCUGCCGUCGCCGUCUCCGAGAUACCUCAUCUCACUGUUCCCCAAAUUGC
rnacentral:misc_RNA from 1 species